AAAUUGAAGAGUUUGAUCAUGGCUCAGAUUGAACGCUGGCGGCAGGCCUAACACAUGCAAGUCGAACGGUAACAGGAAGCAGCUUGCUGCUUUGCUGACGAGUGGCGGACGGGUGAGUAAUGUCUGGGAAACUGCCUGAUGGAGGGGGAUAACUACUGGAAACGGUGGCUAAUACCGCAUAACGUCGCAAGACCAAAGAGGGGGACCUUCGGGCCUCUUGCCAUCAGAUGUGCCCAGAUGGGAUUAGCUUGUUGGUGAGGUAACGGCUCACCAAGGCGACGAUCCCUAGCUGGUCUGAGAGGAUGACCAGCCACACUGGAACUGAGACACGGUCCAGACUCCUACGGGAGGCAGCAGUGGGGAAUAUUGCACAAUGGGCGCAAGCCUGAUGCAGCCAUGCCGCGUGUAUGAAGAAGGCCUUCGGGUUGUAAAGUACUUUCAGCGGGGAGGAAGGUGUUGUGGUUAAUAACCGCAGCAAUUGACGUUACCCGCAGAAGAAGCACCGGCUAACUCCGUGCCAGCAGCCGCGGUAAUACGGAGGGUGCAAGCGUUAAUCGGAAUUACUGGGCGUAAAGCGCACGCAGGCGGUCUGUCAAGUCGGAUGUGAAAUCCCCGGGCUCAACCUGGGAACUGCAUUCGAAACUGGC
rnacentral:rRNA from 1 species